GACGAACGCUGGCGGCGUGCUUAACACAUGCAAGUCGAACGGAAAGGCCCUGCUUUUGUGGGGUGCUCGAGUGGCGAACGGGUGAGUAACACGUGAGUAACCUGCCCUUGACUUUAGGAUAACUUCAGGAAACUGGGGCUAAUACCGGAUAGGAGCUCCUGCUGCAUGGUGGGGGUUGGAAAGUUUCGGCGGUUGGGGAUGGACUCGCGGCUUAUCAGCUUGUUGGUGGGGUAGUGGCUUACCAAGGCUUUGACGGGUAGCCGGCCUGGGAGGGUGACCGGCCACAUUGGGACUGAGAUACGGCCCAGACUCCUACGGGAGGCAGCAGUGGGGAAUAUUGCACAAUGGGCGGAAGCCUGAUGCAGCAACGCCGCGUGCGGGAUGACGGCCUUCAGGUUGUAAACCGCUUUCGCCUGUGACGAAGCGUGAGUGACGGUAAUGGGUAAAGAAGCACCGGCUAACUACGU
rnacentral:rRNA from 1 species